rnacentral:rRNA from 1 species
UACGGGGGGAGCAAGCGUUGUUCGGAUUUACUGGGCGUAAAGGGCGCGUAGGCGGCCACUGCAAGUCAGUUGUGAAAUCUCCGGGCUUAACCCGGAAAGGUCAACUGAUACUGCAGGGCUAGAGUGCAGAAGGGGCAACUGGAAUUCUCGGUGUAGCGGUGAAAUGCGUAGAUAUCUGGAGGAACACCGGUGGCGAAGGCGGCAUCCUGGACCAAUUCUGACACUGAGGAGCGAAAGCCAGGGAGCAAAGCGGG